rnacentral:rRNA from 1 species
AUUGAACGCUGGCGGCAUGCCUUACACAUGCAAGUCGAACGGCAGCACGGGAGCAAUCCUGGUGGCGAGUGGCGAACGGGUGAGUAAUAUAUCGGAACGUGCCCAGUCGUGGGGAUAACGUAGCGAAAGCUACGCUAAUACCGCAUACGAUCUAUGGAUGAAAGCGGGGGAUCGCAAGACCUCGCGCGAUUGGAGCGGCCGAUAUCAGAUUAGGUAGUUGGUGAGGUAAAGGCUCACCAAGCCGACGAUCUGUAGCUGGUCUGAGAGGACGACCAGCCACACUGGGACUGAGACACGGCCCAGACUCCUACGGGAGGCAGCAGUGGGGAAUUUUGGACAAUGGGCGCAAGUCUGAUCCAGCCAUUCCGCGUGCAGGAUGAAGGCC